UGAUCUAGCAUAUAGAUUAUCCCGAUCGAGAUCUUACUCAAUUAAAAUAUAGUGAUGCAUCAACUUUUGAAAUGUGGAGGGGUCAAUCCCAUCUUGAUCCAUACACCGACUACCAUAAGUACUUGAUUGUGUCCAGAAAUCUUUCUUUACUGAAUUAAAAAUUCAAGUUGUCCAGCACUAAAGCAUAGUGAGUUGCUUGCAAGUCACCAUGAUGAUCUC
rnacentral:lncRNA from 1 species